rnacentral:lncRNA from 1 species
ACCAAAAGGAAGGAAGAAAUUACUUAUUAACUAUUAAAGACUCUUUUCUUGCUUCUUUCAGGUUUGAGGUGACAAAAUCAAAGUGGAAAUGAUUUUAAACUGAUGUGUUCAAAUUCUACUAAAAUAGUUAAUCAUUUAUGUUUCUUUGCCAACAACAUAAACUAUCCCGUGUCUUUCUCUUGUUCCAGGCUUCUGCCCAUAGGCCUCUUAUGAAGCUGUAUGAAGUAUCUCACUGGGUGUCGUCAUGCAGCUAGCCAUAAUCCCCGAUGUCUGCCGUCACCAAGCUGACCACUGACCUGGGCGAGGGCGUGUGUGGGUGCCAGGUGGCCUGUUGUCAUGCAACACACAAUGGCUGCAGCUAUCCAUCUACCCCCUCGCCCCCUGUCAGCCUGGAGGCGGAUGGAGAACCUGAAUUCAGGAGAGGUUCUUGGACAAUGGCGGAUUGAGCCAGCUUUACAAACCCUGAACGUGGAGUAGACGGUCUGUGAAAGCUGCUCGCCUCGAGGCUGGCUAAAAUGCUAGCCCUUCGCACACACACACAUAUACAGAUAAAGGAGGAGAGGAAGGAAGGGGCUGUCUUCUUUAUAUUGAUUUUAAUAAUAGCCAUCAAAGCGAGGGUGUGUUAACAAAAAGUGGCAUGGGACAAUCUGGCCCAUAGCCUUUGGCUCGUGUUUGAAUGUGACCCUUGUAGAUGGCAGUGACAUAGAUGGAGUUAGUGAGGAGAAGUGACGGCAGCCUCAUCCUAUUUCAACUUUGCUCCGAGUCUUUGUUCCAUCUGCCCUUUUUCAUA